GCGAUUAAUUAAUUCAUUUCGCCGGUACCACCGCAUACGUGUGCAUUUAAACGGUUUUCGCGCCAAUAAUCGACGACGACCUUCUACGGCUAACCCAGUGUGCGUAUACAAGUACACACGUGUUCGUUAAACGUCUCGGUCCGUGUCGGCCAGUGUAACAGGCAAAUCGUACCACCGGAUAAUCGUUCCUCGCACAAUACGAUAAUCCUAGGACUAUCAUAGGCCCAGUACCAAAAUCCUAUAUAGGAAGUAUCUAAUUACUUAUAUUGUGUAUCGGAGAUACGAUUUUCCUAGGAUAAUCAUACGACUCGCGGGUAGCAAAAUGCUAGGAAGUUCAUAUUUAUACGAUCAAAAUAUACACUGUAAGGUAUGAUUAUACUUUUCAGGGAAACCGUACCUCCGGCG